GCCACAGUGUGGUAUACAUAUGCGGUAUAAUGUGAAAGUCACGCGCACUCUCGGCGACGAAACUUUGGCGAGACUGGAAGUGAGAUGAAAGGCGGCCCCGUGAUUGGUGCCCUUUCUUCCGACGCCGAGAAGACUUCCGCCGCACGUUCUCCUUUCUAUAGAGCCACCUGUUCAGGAAGAUAACGUGCGCGAGUGUCGUACACGGAUCCUCUUGGGUCAGUGCUGUAUAAUUGCGCGACGUUCGCCUGAACUGCGAGUGAUUUAUGGGCCGCGCUCUCUUCUGCCCCUUCUGCAUUUUUUCCUUCUUUUUUUUUCACUUAGGCAUGUGAACUAGGCUAAGGAAACAUGUGCGGAGCGCUUGCAGCGCAAACGUCCGCUCAGGUCACCGCAACUUGGGAUAGCCGAGACCCUCAGCGGGCCGCUAUAGGUAAUCAGCUAUGGCGGCAUUGACUCUAGCGGUAGCAAGUCUGCGAGGACCGUUGCAAGAGUGCCUGAUGCACAUAUAUUCAAGCGCAUGCUAAGCCGGGAAUAUGGCGCCUGGAGUCCGAACCAAGGUCACUCGAGUCUGCAGAAAGCCACUUGAAGCCCUGGUAAAGGCGGUCUGGCUUUUCCACCAGCUGCACGCGGAGUCUCGGCCGCAUUGAUCCUUCAGGGCACUCAUCACCGG